rnacentral:rRNA from 1 species
AUUGAACGCUGGCGGCAGGCCUAACACAUGCAAGUCGAACGAGUGGCGGACGGGUGAGUAAUGUCUGGGAAACUGCCUGAUGGAGGGGGAUAACUACUGGCAACGGUAGCUAAUACCGCAUACCAUCAGAUGUGCCCAGCUGGGAUUAGCUAGUAGGUGGGGUAACGGCUAACCUAGGCGACGCUCCCUAGCUGGGCUGAGAGGAUGACCAGCCACACUGGAACUGAGACACGGUCCAGACUCCUACGGGAGGCAGCAGUGGGGAAUAUUGCACAAUGGGCGCAAGCCUGAUGCAGCCAUGCCGCGUGUAUGAAGAAGGCCUUCGGGUUGUAAAGUACUUUCAGCGGGGAGGCGUUACCCGCAGAAGAAGCACUGGAUAACUCCGUGCCAGCAGCCGCGGUAAUAC